GAGGAGCGGAUUGGAGUGGUCUGGAGGGAAGUUCUCCCAGCUGCUUAGGAGAGGGCAGAAGGAUUGCACUGUACUACACCAGAGAAUACAGAGAGGAUAGACACUGCGGAUAGAUCCUGACCAUCACCCAAGGAACAACUACACAACUGUGGAAAGACAUCCGGUCUCUUUGCAGCAUUUCUCAACACAGAGAAGAUUGGGCAGUGAGACUAUCAUUUGGAAACCGGUCGGGUCAGAGCAGCUUUCUAAUCUUGACUCUAAUCUCCAGCAUCUGCAGUACCCACUUUUGCCAGCUUUGACAUAUCGUCGGAUCUGAACCUGGUCGGUGGUGUGGAGCCUUCCAUCAGAACGAAACUUUAAGCAGGUUUGGCUGUGGGUGAUCGAUCAGGGUGAGGCUGGGAAGAAGUGUGAGUGGCUCCAAGUGUGCUGAGAGCUUCAAUCAUUCAUCAAGCCUCAUGAACAAGUGAUUCAGUCCCAUAGAUGAAAGACUGUUCAAGUGUGAGGUGUAUGAGGAGGACUCCACAGGCUCAUGUAAUCCUCUAACACACCAGAUUAUGUGUAGUACAGCAACAUGGAAGAAAAACCAUUUAAGUGUGAGGUGUGUGCCAAAGCCUUUGCACAAUCAUCAACCCUUCUGAUGCAUCACCGCAUUCACACAGGGGAGAAACCAUUCCUUUGUGAAGUGUGCAACAAAUCAUUCGCACAGUCUUCACAUCUCCGCUCCCACCAACGCAUCCAUACAGGGGAGAAACCGUACAACUGUGAGAUAUGCAACAAGUAUUUCUCACAGUCAUCCCAUCUUCGCUCACACCAACGCAUUCACACUGGAGAGAAGCCAUUCACAUGUGAGGUGUGCAAUAAAUCAUUCUCGUUGUCAUGGGCUCUCCUUGAACACCAACCUAUUCACACAGGGGAGAAACCCUUCACGUGUGAGGUGUGUGAGAAAUCAUUCUCACAGUCCUCUGGCCUUCGUGCACAUCAGCGCAUCCACACUGGGCUGAAGCCAUUUACAUGUGAAGUAUGUGACAAAUCAUUCACACGAUUAUCGUACCUCCGUGUACACCAACGUAUGCACACAGGGCAGAAACUUUUCAAAUGCGAGGUAUGUGAGAAAGCUUUCACACGGUCAUCAGGCUUAAUGGCCCACCAGAGGCUCCACACAGGUGAGAAACCCUUUAAGUGUGAGGUGUGUGAUGAAGCUUUUCCAAUAUCAGCAAGGCUGCUGAGACACCAGAGGAUUCACACAGGGGAGAAACCGUUCAGAUGUGAGGUGUGCGGGGCUGCAUUCUACCGAUCCUCUAAUCUCCUCACACAUCAGAAAAUUCACACAGGGGAGAAACCAUUCACAUGUGAGGUGUGUGGCAAAUCAUUCUCCAGGUCAUCUUACCUUCUGGUCCAUCAGAGGAUCCACACAGGAAAGUAACCCUGUCAAUGUGAAGUCUCCACUGAAGCUUCCGUGGCAUCAUUGACCUCCAGAGGAUUUACAUGAGUGCAGUGUUUGUGGAGUCAUGGUUGGGUCUUGUGAUUUCAUGGUGCUAGCUGUGUUUUUAUCACAGAUUGAACAAAUCGACGAUCAGUCUAUCAUCAACAGCCCCCAUCAUGGAUCAAGUGAUACAGACAGCACUUAGAACUUUGACUUGAGUUUCAAGCUGCCAAAGGAGCCUCUAACAUGGUCUUUGUACAGGGUAAAGGCAAGAAAAAUAUUGAGAGCAACACCAGGAAUUGUUCAUUAUGUUCCUCAGUAUGACCAAAGUAUUUGAGUCAGUAAAUCACAAGGUUGUGUAGAUUGUGCUCCGAUGAUUUGGAUGUCAAAGAAAUUUCGGUCCACUCCUGCAAGAGCUUCAUGAUGAAGUGAUGUGACUGUAACUGUAAUAAGUGUGAGAUCUGAAAACAAACAUUCAAAAUCCACUAAUGUCAAACAAGGCAGUGUGAUAGUGUCCAUUCUAUUUACAGUCUACCUGACAGUGACUAUUCACCUCAUCAAAGACCGCCUGCUCUGUGCUGUCAGUGUUAAAGGUCACUUUGGUGUGAAACUAAUUUAUCUCAAUCCUUUCUGUGCCAAACUGAAACUGAACACCAUAGAUAAACGUCAUCACCAGUUUGCAGGUGUGACUGCCUCCUGAAACAAAGCGUCCAGGUAACUCUCCCCCUCCCGGAUGUGCCACAGUGUUUGAAGCUCAGAUUCCAGACCAUCAACUCUGAGCCGGAGCUCUUCCAGCAACCAACAGUUGCUGCAUUCACAAUGGGAUCAGCCAGCUCCCGCAUCAUUACUUUCUGUAAUAUUCUCAGAGAGUUUCACCCGAUGUGUGUGUGUUAGUAAAGUGAGCCAGUUCUCAGGAAUGGAUGUGAAGUAAAAUUAGACCCUGCUUCAGUUGGGGAUGUGAAUUAUAGAUAGAUCCUCUUCAGAUGACAGGUAUUUGACGAAUACCAUGGGGAAUUUUGUACCCUCCUCUCUGGGUGGACUACUAUCCUGGAGAUAGUGGCGAUGAGUCCUUACAGACCUGUGUUCCCUCAGACCGUCAAUCUUGAUGGUACGUUAACUUUACACUCUUCCAAGAUUCAUUUCAUGUUCUGGGAAAGAUCUUGACUUAGUUUCAAAUGCUUUUGUUAUUUUCAAUGAUUGGGUGUUUGAUUUAAGAUGAAUGUUAUAUUGCUUAUUGUUCUGUUUCAGUCUUCUACACAAAUUUACAACUCACAAUAAUUAACUUCUAUCUUAAUCUGAACUAUUUGAUUAGUCAGCCUGAUGUGUCACUAUUCAGAGAAACACUCAGGAUCCUACUGUCAAAGUCCUGUACAGAAUAUAUUGCUUAGUGUCACUGUGGCCUUUUCCAUCAAUUGGUUUAAAAUUUCCAAUUCAAAGGAAGCAGAACAUUUCCUGACAAAAGAAAGACGUGUGCAUUUAUAUUGAAAACAACAAAUGCUGGUGGAGAGCAGAGUGGUCAGACAGCAUCCAUGGAGACAGACAGCAAGCUAAUGUUUCAAGUCUAGGUGACUCUUCAUCAGAGCUGAUGUGAAGUAUGGAGUAGUAUGCAGGAGUUUGGAGAGCUGGGGAGGGGGCUGUUGGAGUGUAGUGUGCCGGUGGAGAAAAUAGUGCAGAUUAAGUGAUCGGAAUGUGAGAAUGGUAGAAUGAUGGUGUGUCUAACACCAGACUGGAAAGGUCAGACAAUCCCACUGGGGUGAGGGGAGGGGAGAGAGGACAUGGUGACAGAGAAUGUAAUGAGUAAAGCGAAAAGAAAGGGAAGAAAUGGGAAUUGAUUCAUAAUGUGAAGGGGUUGAACUCAAUAUUAUGUCCAGAAGGCUGUAAAAUAUCAUCUUUAUUAUUUAGACACCUGAAACCAAUGUACUCAUGACCAGAUAAUCUGAUUUUUGUGACUUUGAUAGUGGAAUCCCACUUGAUCAAAACAUCAAGGAUUGUCCCCUCCUUUUUCACUGUAUUGUGUCAUGGGAUCUUUAGCAUGCAUUUGGUCAUUGUUCUGACAUUGCAACUCUCACUCAGCACUGCAAAGGCUCCAAUAACACUCAAGAAGCUUCGCAUUGUCCACAACAAUUCAGCCCACCUGUAUUGGCACCACAUCCACAUACAUUCACUCCCUCUACCACUAACACUCAGUAGCAACAGUGUGUACUGUCUACAAGAUGCACUGCAGAAAUUCACCAAAGAUCCUUAAACAGCAUCUUCCAAAUCCAGAUCCACUUUAAUCUACAAGGAUAAGGGCAGCAGAUACAUUGGAACAGCACCACCUGCAAGUUUCCCUCCAAACUAUUCACCAUCCUGACUUGUAAAUAAUUCACAUUACUCGAGUGCCACUGGGUCAAACCUUGGAACCUCCUCACUAACAGCAUUGUGGGUCUGCCUUCAGGACAUGGACUACAGUGGUUCAAGAAGGCAGCUCACUACCAGCUUCAAAGGCAAUGAAGAAUGGGUGAUAAAUUUUGGCCCAGAUGUGGAAUUUUAAUAAGACCCACUUAGAAAUACUUCCAGUUCUCACUGAUCUACAUUGUCCCCUGGUCAAAAUUCACAUUUUUGUUAUUGAAUCCCUUGAAGCCCUUACCAUAUCUAUUAGGCAAUUCAACUCCCAAACCUGGAGAUACAUUUAUUGAAAUGUCUUUUGAUGCAUUCUUUAAAAGUUUUUACCUGAAAGCCUUGGCCUUUCCCAAAAGCGUAGAGUCAUAGAAUCACAGCGACAUACAGCAUGGAAACAGACCCUUCGGUCCAACCCGUCCAUGCUGACCAGAUAUCCCAACCCAAUCUAGUCCCACCUGCUAGCACCCAGCCCAUAUCCCUCCAAACUCUUCCUAUUCAUAUACCCAUUCAAAUGCCUCUUAAAUGUUGCAAUUGUACCAGCUUCCACCACUUUCUCUGGCAGCUCAUUCCAUACACGUACUACCCUCUGUGUGAAAAAGUUGCCCCUUGGGAUUUGAUUGUUUUGCUCCAUUCUGUUGCUGACAGCUGAAUUUGGGAUGUGCAGUCUGAGGGAGUGCAGCAUAUCUAAUUUCCCAGGAGAAACAAGAACUCUUCAUUCAGUUACCCUGAAGCAAUAUUUACCUGCCCAGUGUGUUCUCCUCAAAUUAUUUUGGAAUACAAUGGGAGAAAUUUGAAAAUCUCAAGCAAAUUUAAAUUCCUUUUUUUUAUAUAAAUCCCAAUUUCUAAAGAGUGAAAUGGUCUUCAACACAACACGAAUAGUGAAUAGUGAAUUGACAGUACAUUAUACACUUUACCUGACAAUCUUUUCCAUUGCCCUAACAGGGUCUGUAUGGAAAAAGAGAUGGGAACCACAUUGUCUACUCCUACUCAUGAGUGUAAAGACCACAUUUUUAAAAAUUUUGAAUUAUAGACUAAGUAUUUUGUAUAG